rnacentral:rRNA from 1 species
GGAUUAGAUACCCUGGUAGUCCACGCCGUAAACGAUGAGUGCUAACUGUCGGGCUUUUUAAGGCUCGGUGGUGCAAGCUAACGCGUUAAGCACUCCGCCUGGGGAGUACGGCCGCAAGGUUAAAACUCAAAGGAAUUGACGGGGACCCGCACAAGUGGUGGAGCAUGUUGUUUAAUUCGAAGCAACGCGAAUAACCUUACCUAGCCUUGACAUGUGUAUCGUACCUUAUAGAAGUAUAAGGGUCAGUUCGGCUGGAUACAACACAGGUGUUGCAUGGCUGUCGUCAGCUCGUGCCG